CAGUAAUAUACCAUAUAGAUUUAACUUCUUUUUAUCACCAAAACAUCACAUACACUAUGCUGCCUCAUUAAAUUUAGCAUAUGGGAAGAAAAUUGAGGAAACAAUUUUUUAAGCACUGUUGGUGGGCACACUGCUACCUCCAACCAAGGAGAACCUUGUUUAAAGGAAGAAGAGGACGAUUGAUAUUGGAUUUGGCAAAUGGAGGUCAUUGGUGACCUUGAAGAGCAAUGUCCACUGACCAUUGGAGUGGAAGCCAACUGAGGUGAACUGAAGAGAAAACAGUAGAUGAGGAAGCGCUGCAAGCACAUGAAAGAGCCCUUUUACAAGAUGGCUGACCUGGAGAUACAUUAAUUCAAGGGAUCCUGGAGCCCUGGGAUCGAGUCCCAUGUCUGGCUCCCUGCAUGGAGCUGCUUCUCUUUCUGCCUGUGUCUCUGCUUCUCUCUCUCUCUCUCUCGCAUGAAUAAAUAAAAUCUUUAAAAAAAAAA